UGCCAGCCUCCGCUGUAAACCCAGCACCUCAAUUGGUCAGGAUGAUUAUCGGGCCUAAAGCAUCCGUAGCCGGCGCUAUAAGUUUUCGGUUAAAUCUGUACGCUCAACGUACAGGCUGCCGGGAAUACUGUAGCGCUAGGGAGUGGGAGAGGUAGACGGUACUCGGUAGGAAGGGGUAAAAUCCUUUGAUCUAUUGAUGACCACCUGUGGCGAAGGCGGUCUACCAGAACACGUCCGACGGUGAGGGAUGAAAGCUGGGGGAGCAAACCGGAUUAGAUA
rnacentral:rRNA from 1 species